rnacentral:rRNA from 1 species
UGUAAGCGUAUACCAAAGUUGUUGCAGUUAAAACGCUCGUAGUCGGAAUUUGGCAGUUCCGGAUGUGUGCACGUCGUGUGCGCACUUCGCGGGGAUUGCUUUUGUGGUCUUGCGUAGGAUGAGGCACUUUUAUUAGUGAACGUCCUCACGCAACCACUUUUUACUGUGAGAAAAUCAGAGUGCUCAAAGCAGGCAUUUGCCGUGAAUGUAUUAGCAUGGAAUGAUAGAAUAGGACUUGGUUCUAUUUUGUUGGUUUGUUGGGACUGAGUAAUGAUUAAGAGGGACAGUUGGGGGCAUUUGUAUUUCGGCGCUAGAGGUGAAAUUCUUAGAUUGCCGAAAGACAAACUGCUGCGAAAGCGUCUGCCAAGGAUGUUUUCACUGA